rnacentral:misc_RNA from 1 species
UUUCCGUAGGUGAACCUGCGGAAGGAUCAUUAAAAAAUCGGACUCCACUGGUGAGUUCAUUAAUAAUCCUACCCUUUGUGAAUUUGUUUGUUUGAAUAAUUUUUUUUCCAAAAAAAAUUAUUGAAUGUCUUUCCCUGUUUUGGUGGAGCUUGUAAAGUGAAACCAGGCAGGGGAAUGGCAAACAAUAAUUAUUUUUGAAAAAGACCUUUUUUAAAAUUAAACUUUUUGUAUUCAUUUGUCUAAAAUUAUUUUUAUAAUAUAAAAACAACUUUUGACAAUGGAUCUCUUGGUUCUCGCAACGAUGAAGAACGCAGCAAAAUGCGAUAAGUAGUGUGAAUUGCAGAAUACGUGAAUCAUCGAAUCUUCGAACGCAUAUUGCACUUUUUUAGUUUACUAAAAAAGUAUGUCUGUUUGAGUAUCAGUAAAAUAUUCUCAUAAAAAAUUUAUUUUUUAUGGUUAUGAGUGUUUUACAACGAUAACAAGUUGUUUCACUUUAAAUUCUUUGUUAUCAAAAAAAUCAUUAAAAGCUAAUUUUAAAGAUUUUUUAAAAUUGGAUAAAAUUUUCCCGUAAAAAGGAAUAACCUAAACAAUUUUAAAAAAUUAAAAUUGGUUUGAUUUUUCAUGAUUUAAAAAGGAAAAAAAAGUAAAAAUUAACUUGAUCUCAAUCAGAUAAGAGUACCCGCUGAACUUAAGCAUACCAAUAAGCGGAGGAAAAGAAACUAACUAGGAUUCCCUCAGUAACGGCGAGUGAAGCGGGAAGAGCUCAAAUUUGAAAUCUUCAAGGUUUUACCUUGACGAAUUGUAGUUUAAAGAAGUGUUUUCUGUUGGAGUUUUGGUAAAAGUUCUUUGGAAAAGGACAUCAUAGAGGGUGAGAAUCCCGUAUUUGACCAUUAUCUCCAGCUUUGUGAUACACUUUCAAAGAGUCGGAUUGUUUGGGAAUGCAGUCCAAAAUGGGUGGUAAAUUUCAUCUAAAGCUAAAUACUGGCGAGAGACCGAUAGCGAACAAGUACCGUGAGGGAAAGAUGAAAAGAACUUUGAAAAGAGAGUUAAACAGUACGUGAAAUUGUCAAAAGGGAAGCGUUUGACACCAGUGUUGUUUUCUCGAAAAUCAAUUAAAAAAGGCCGGAUUUUGUGUUGUAUUGACUUUAUCAGCUUUCUGCACUUUUUUCUUGUCUUUUUUAAUGCACUUUUCGUUUAACAAGUCAACAUCAAUUUCUUUUGUUGUAAAAGGGUCAUUGGAAGGUGGCUUUCUUUUCGGAGAAAGUGUUUAUAGCCUUUGGCCUCUGCAAUCGGAGAGAUUGAGGUCUGCAGCGUAGAUCCUUCGGGGUUAGAUACAUUUGUGCUAAGUUAUAGCCUUUCAUAGACAACUUGUUGACUAUGAUCAGUCAUGUAGCUUACUCGCUUAUGCUAUUU